rnacentral:rRNA from 1 species
CUACGGAGGGUGCAAGCGUUACUCGGAAUCACUGGGCGUAAAGCGCGCGCAGGCGGCUAUUUAAGUUGGAUGUAAAAGCCUACGGCUCAACCGUAGAACUGCAUCCAAAACUAUUUAGCUAGAGUGUGGGAGAGGAAGAUGGAAUUAGUUGUGUAGGGGUAAAAUCCGUAGAGAUAACUAGGAAUACCAAAAGCGAAGGCAAUCUUCUGGAACACUACUGACGCUGAGGCGCGAAAGCGUGGGGAGCAAACGGGAUUAGAAACCCUUGUAGUCC